rnacentral:rRNA from 1 species
UCAAAACAUGUCUUUUAGUAAUAUUUUAAAAGUCGGUCCUGCUCAGUGAAUUUUAAAUAGCCGCGGUAUAUUAACUGUGCAAAGGUAGCAUAAUAAUUAGUCUUUUAAUUGAGGUCUGGAAUGAAUGGUUUGACGAGAAAGUGACUUUAUUAAUAUUUUUUUUUGAAAUUAAAUUUCAAGUUAAAAUGCUUGAUUAUUAAAGAGGGACGAUAAGACCCUAUAGAUCUUAAUUUUGUUAAUUUAUAAAUUUUUUUUAGUUAUUUUUUUAUAUUUUAUUAAAAAUUUUGCUGGGGAGGUAAUCAAACCUUUUAUCUUUGUAUAUUUAACCAUUAAUUUAUGUUUAUUUGAUCCUUAAUAUUUGGAUAUUAGAAAAAGAUACCUUAGGGAUAACAGCGUUAUAUUUUUGAAUAGUUCAUAUUGAUAAAAAUGAUUGCGACCUCGAUGUUGGAUUAAUAUUUGUUUAUGGGGUAGGUUUCAUAAUACUAGGUCUGUUCGACCUUUAAAAUUUUACAUGAUCUGUUU